ensembl:lncRNA
CUAAAGAGUGGGAUGAGGCCAUCCCGUUUCUGUUGUUCGCAGUUAGGGACGCCCCCACUGCACUGAAUCCUUGGGUUAUAGCCCAUUUGAAUUAGUUUUUGGACAUGAAGUUCGUGGGCCAUUACAGCUCUUGCGGGAGAAAAUUAUUCGGCCAGCACCUCCCGGUGAUGUGCUAGAUUAUGUUUCAUUAAUGCGGGGUCGACAACAGUUGGCGUGUGAGGUUGCCUCCAAGAAUUUAGCUGGGGCUAAAGCUCGCAUGAAGGCCAGGUAUGACCGCAAGGCGGUGUGCCGCGUUUUUGAUCCAGGUGAUUUGGUCUUAGUUUUAGGAGCAGGACCACGGGGACCGUUAGGUCCUAUGUUUGCUGGUCCUUACAGGGUCUUGAGGAAGGGUGUGAAAUGGGACUGGACAGAUGGGUGUCAGGUAGCAUUGACUCAGGUUAAAACCAUUUUGUCUAGUGCCCCUGUUCUCAGAGCACCAGAGUUUGAGAGGCCAUUCGCUCUCGCUGUUGAUGCCUGUGAUGUUGGAAUAGGAGCUGUCCUCCUACAGGCAGGAGAGGAUGGUUAUGAGCGGCCGGUGGCGUACUUCUCAAAGAAACUCAACUCACAUCAAAGAGUGUACUCUACCAUAGAGAAGGAAGCUUUGGCUCUAGUCUUAGCAGUUAUCAGCAUUUUGAGGUCUAUAUUGCGGGAGGUGAGCAGGCGGUGGUGGUUUAUUCCGACCAUAAUCCCCUAGCUUUCUUAGCCAGGUUCCGUAGUGCUAACGCCAGGGUAUUUCGCUGGGGUCUCGUAUUACAGCCUUACAACCUGGUGGUGAAGCAUAUAGCUGGCAAGGACAACGUUAUUGCUGAUGCUCUCUCUAGGGUGUGAGACCUUGUUUACGACUGAUGUUGUCUACCGGAUUUGUAGUGGGUUAUCUUGUUAUUUACAAGAUCCUCAUGUUUUCAACAUAAUGGUUGAGUUCUAUUUUAGGUUAGAAGUUAAGUUUGGGGAAAUCUAAAAAUGAAAGGUAAGAUUAGAAAAAAAAAACACACAAAAGGGUAGGAGAAAAAUAAAUAAAUAAUUGUGGUGUUUUUGUUUUGUUUAUGGGGGGAGGAAUGUCACGAUCCUACUGUUGGGUAAGGUUAAGCUUGUUGGUAACUGGUGGUCAUGGUAACGGUGGGAGUGGCUCCCUUGAUUGGUUGAUUGGGGACACCUGGGGGAUCCAAGAGGGUG